GGACGGGUGAGUAAUGUCUGGGAAACUGCCUGAUGGAGGGGGAUAACUACUGGAAACGGUAGCUAAUACCGCAUAACGUCGCAAGACCAAAGAGGGGGACCUUCGGGCCUCUUGCCAUCAGAUGUGCCCAGAUGGGAUUAGCUAGUAGGUGGGGUAAUGGCUCACCUAGGCGACGAUCCCUAGCUGGUCUGAGAGGAUGACCAGCCACACUGGAACUGAGACACGGUCCAGACUCCUACGGGAGGCAGCAGUGGGGAAUAUUGCACAAUGGGCGCAAGCCUGAUGCAGCCAUGCCGCGUGUGUGAAGAAGGCCUUCGGGUUGUAAAGCACUUUCAGCGAGGAGGAAGGUGGUGAACUUAAUACGUUCAUCAAUUGACGUUACUCGCAGAAGAAGCACCGGCUAACUCCGUGCCAGCAGCCGCGGUAAUACGGAGGGUGCAAGCGUUAAUCGGAAUUACUGGGCGUAAAGCGCACGCAGGCGGUUUGUUAAGUCAGAUGUGAAAUCCCCGGGCUCAACCUGGGAACUGCAUUUGAAACUGG
rnacentral:rRNA from 1 species